UACGAAGGGGGCUAGCGUUGUUCGGAAUUACUGGGCGUAAAGCGCGCGUAGGCGGACCUGCAAGUCGGGGGUGAAAGCCCGAGGCUCAACCUCGGAACUGCCUUCGAUACUGCGAGUCUCGAGUCCGGGAGAGGUGAGUGGAAUUCCUAGUGUAGAGGUGAAAUUCGUAGAUAUUAGGAAGAACACCAGUGGCGAAGGCGGCUGCACUGGCCCGGUACUGACGCCUGAGGCGCGAAAGCGUGGGGAGCAAACAGG
rnacentral:rRNA from 1 species